rnacentral:sRNA from 1 species
UGUCUUCUUGCCACCCCCAGCCCCAGUCAUCAUCACCAUCAGAGUCUUGGUUUGAGUAGGAGGUGACUUUGUCUUGAGAUUCUGUUGGCUCUCAACAAAAUUGGCAAAGACAAGCAUGGCCCAGGUUAUUUUGCUGAGGGAAAGAGAUAGAAGGGUGAGUGAGUGUGUUUGUGUGUGCGUGCAUGUGUGUAAUUUAUAAAUAGGAUCAAUUGCCUACUUUAAUAAGUAUAUAGAAAUAAAAUAGUAAAACAAAUAUGCCCAAGUAUGAUUGAACUCUUCAGUGACGCUUGUCUUGUACCGUCAUCUUUUUUUCUGAAGUUGUUGGUGAUAAGUGAUACUGCAGUUAGUGAUUAUUGAUUUGUUUCCCUAGGCAAGAAAUUAUAGAGCAGCUUCUAUCAAAUAUUUUCCACAAGGAGAAAAAUGAAUCAGCCAUAGUCAGUGCAAUCCAGAUAUUGCUGACUUUACUUGAGACACGACGACCAACAUUUGAAGGCCAUAUAGAGAUCUGCCCACCAGGCAUGAGCCAUUCAGCUUGUUCAGUAAACAAGAGUGUUCUAGAAGCCAUCAGAGGAAGACUUGGAUCUUUUCA